UACGGAGGAUCCAAGCGUUAUCCGGAUUCAUUGGGUUUAAAGGGUGCGUAGGCGGAAUAGUAAGUCAGUGGUGAAAGCCUGCAGCUUAACUGCAGAAUUGCCAUUGAUACUGCUAAUCUAGAGUACAUUUGAUGUGGGCGGAAUGUGUCGUGUAGCGGUGAAAUGCUUAGAUAUGACACAGAACACCAAUUGCGAAGGCAGCUCACAAAACUGUAACUGACGCUGAGGCACGAAAGCGUGGGGAUCAAACAGG
rnacentral:rRNA from 1 species